rnacentral:rRNA from 1 species
AUUGAACGCUGGCGGCAGGCCUAACACAUGCAAGUCGAGCGAGCGGCGGACGGGUGAGUAAUGUCUGGGAAACUGCCUGAUGGAGGGGGAUAACUACUGGAAACGGUAGCUAAUACCGCAUACCAUCAGAUGUGCCCAGAUGGGAUUAGCUAGUAGGUGGGGUAACGGCUCACCUAGGCGACGAUCCCUAGCUGGUCUGAGAGGAUGACCGGCCACACUGGAAGUGAGACAGUGUCCAGGCGACUACGAGAGGCAGCAGUGGGGAAUAUUGCACAAUGGGCGCAAGCCUGAUGCAGCCAUGCCGCGUGUGUGAAGAAGGCCUUCGGGUUGUAAAGCACGUUCAGCGGGGAGGCGUUACCCGCAGAAGAAGCACCGGCUAACUCCGUGCCAGCCGCCGCGGUAAUAC